rnacentral:piRNA from 1 species
UUAAGAAUUUAGUUCUCAUUGUUGUCCAAGUCUAAGAUUAUGGGCUAUUGAGGGCUAAAAGAUAUGAUAAACUAUCGGAAGCAAUAUUUACAGAAUUAAAUUUAUUAUUAUCGUCGAACCAUUCUAGAGCCUUAAAGAUUGCAAUAUUUUCUGCUUGGAAACACUAUUAUAAUAAAAUAAUAUACAAGAUUUUUCAUAUAUAAAAAUAUUUUCAUAGAAUGCACACCAUCCCACACCAACACCAUUUUCAGAUUUAGAACCGUCAGUAUAAAUUUAUUUAUCAGGAUAUUAUGGUAAUAUCCUCAUAGUACAAAUAUUGAGGUCUGAUGUAUUAUUUGGAAUAUUUAUGGUAAUGUCCUCGUAGUACAAAUAUUGAGAUCUGAUGUAUUAUUUGGAAUCCGGGUUGAAACAUUCUGUCGAGGAUGGUGGCCAGUUGGAUUAGAUGUGUUCUGAAGAAGGCUUGUACCGGGUUGUUGACAGUUCCGCUCUCUUUCUUUCUGCUUGUUGUUGCUCAUCCUGUCGACUCCUCUGAGAGAAAGUGUAAGAAAAUCAGAGGUUGGAUCUCAGAAAGUAUCGUUUAAUUAUCAAAUAGAUUAUAUUAAGAUGACAAAGGAACAUAGAGAGUUAAAAAGAAGGUAAGCCCAGUGGGAGUCAACAAGCAAAUCUGUAAUAUUAUACAGGUAUCGGCCGGCGCCAGGUCACGUGAUGUCUGGGGGAAGCUGGGUUGUUGCUAAGCGAGUCACUUUCCAAUACUCCCACCUGACGAGCACUUUGUUGUUUCAAACAGUCCAAGUUGGCUUCUUAGUCUUCUAUACUUUUCUGGAGGUAAAGCUUUCGUAAAUAUGUCUGCAGCUUGAUCAUUGGAGCAGACAUAAAGAAGGUCAAUUGCAUGUUUUUGAAAAUGAUCUCUGAUAAAGUGAUACGAAAUAUCAAUAUGUUUAGUUCUUUUGUGGUAUUCUGGGUUGUGAACAAGUCUUAUGCAGCUUUGAUUGUUGCAAAAAAUUGUUGUAGGCUUUACUUGUUCUUGAUGUAGCUCGUGUAGAAGUUGUCUCAGCCAAAUUGCUUCUUUUGUUGCUUUGGAAGCCGCAAUAUAUUCAGAUUCUGUUGUUGACAGAGACACACAAUUCUGUUUUUGACUGCACCAAGAAAUAGGUCCAUUAUUCAACAUGAACACAUAUCCGGUGGUUGAUUUUCUUGUGUCCAGGUCUCCAGCAAAAUCAGCAUCGGAAAAACCUAUCAGAGAUGUAGUGCAGGAACUCCCACCAAAACAAAUACCGAUGUUUUUCGUAGCUUUUAAGUAUCCAAAUAUUUUCUUUACUGCGGUCCAAUGUGAAGGUCCUGGGUUGUUCAUAAAUUGGCUAACCCUGCUGACUGCGUAGGCAAUAUCAGGUCUAGUUCCAGUCAUGAGGUACAUUAAACUACCAAUAGUCUGUCUGUAUGGAAUCUUGUUCAUUUCUUCAAUUUCCUGAUCAUCCUUUGGGCACAUCUCUUUUGUUAGUUUUGAGUAAGGAUCAGAAGGUACAGAUUGUAACUUAAUUUCAAGAAGGUUGUAAUGUUCAAGUGUUCUUUCAAUGUAUGAGGCUUGAUGCAGAAAUAACAUUUUAGUUGUUCUAUCUCGAUAUAUUUGUAGGCCAAGGAAAUAAUCGGCAGUAAAAGUUUUUAUUUCAAAAUUGGAAUUUAAGUACUGUACUAUAUCAUCUAAAUGUUGUUUAUUUACACUGCAGAUUAAGCAAUCAUCUACAUAUAUUGCAAGUAAUAUGUAAGCCUGUUUACAUUUCAUUGUAUAGACACAUGAAUCUGAUAUGCUAGGUUUCAGAUCAAACUUAAUUAAAAACUCAUGAAAUUUCUUGUUCCACAUUCUGGGGGAUUGCUUAAGACCAUAGAUGCUUUUCUGAAGAGAGCAAACAUGAUUUGGAAAAUAUUUGAUACCAACCACGCUCUGCUACCGUGUAAGAAAAUCAGAGGUUGGAUCUCAGAAAGUAUCGUUUAAUUAUCAAAUAGAUUAUAUUAAGAUGACAAAGGAACAUAGAGAGUUUCAACUUUUCUUAUUUUUAAUUUUCCUUCAUAUGAUAUACCGCAUGCCACCAUAAAUCCUUUGGGGUAACUUUCGGCACAUUCCUUCAUCCAAAUUGGCCUAGAUUUUUCCACCCUUUUUUGAUAGUAUAUAGCUAUUUUUCUGUCGCAAUCGGUUAAAUAUACCCAUGCUUCGUCAUAUGCAACAAUAAAUUUCCAUCUAUCAGCAGCAAGAAAUUUUCAUAAAAAUAUCUGCUGAUAGUGUGUCGCUGACGAAUAUGGCUCUGAAACAAUUUGUGAACAGCACGUUUUUUUUUUAGCUUUUAGGCCUAAAUCUUUAUUAUUUUAUUUAUUGUUGACACUGAUAAUCAGGGUGAUAAUCUUUUGUCCAUUUCUCCGUAGGUGCUUUGAAUAAAAACUUGAUAUUUUGGUCAUUAAUAAUAUUAUAAAUACCUUUUUUAUAGAAAUGUUGAUAUAAUCUUUUUUGCAUAUUUUAAUUAUGUCCAAAUAAGUAAGAUUAGCUCUGGAAAGUCCUAAAAUAUAACCUCUUAUGAAAUUAUUGUAUUUGAAGGGUAUUUUUUUUUUUUAAAUAACAAAAUAUAUGUAAUGCGCGUUAGAAUUAGCUUAAGCCUUUUUGAAUUCCACGUUGUUGAUUUUUUAAAAUAAAGUAAUAGUUCAUUUUUUACACCGGGCGCUCGUUUCCUAUAAGUGUGAACACCCUCUGUAUAUGGGCGCCAAGGAGAUGUUUCGUGGUGAAAUUGGAAAUGUACAACUCCUGAAACAUAUCUAGUUUUAUUAUUAGAUAGUAUCAUCCUGUAAGUUACAUUCAAAAAAAUGUAUACAAUAUAGCAAUGAUUCAUAGUGAAGAUAGUAAAAAAAAAAACACACACACAAAGGAUAAGUAUGAGUAUAAUAACUGUUACAUAAAAGGAUAGAAUUGGUCUUAUUUGGUGAAAGGAAGUGUAUCUUUAUGUUGCUGAGACCAUCAUUAGGGAUGCAGUGAGCCAUUCUCUAACAACAGUAGGAAACAACGUCCUUCAGAGACAAGCUGCUUGUUGAACAGCUGUAGCCAUUCUUGAAAGAUGCUAGAGGUCAUCCAUGCUUUGCUGUUAGAUGUGUAUGUGCAGUAGAAGUGUGGACUAAAGUUUCUGAAGCAUCGAGGCUUUGCUGAUUUUCCAAUAAUCAGCAAUUGCCGCUUGUCAUUUCCAGUAGAGUUGCAGCACAGGAGAACAGUGAUUCGUUGCUUCAUCCUUUUGACACCCUGGAGGGAUCCAAGGCGAGAGCAGGGAGGCAGAGAUGUUGCCAGGGCGAAGGCUAGCUGGAUGAUCAUCCCUUUGUCAAGGCAUUACAUUUUGUAUAAACAAAACUCAACGCUGCAUAGUCUCAUAUUAAAAUUAAAAUAGUUUUAAAAAAAAAUAAAGGAGGUGGGUGAUUAAUACAACUUUAAUAUAUAUAUUUUUUAUAGUUGAGGUUUCUAUUUUGUCAGUUUAAUGAAGCAUUUGAAGCCAUUUAGGGGCAUAUGCAAAAUGUUCAUUAAUGUUUGAAGACAUUUAAAAAAAAAUUAUUAAUUUAAAGAAAAAGAAAAAGUAAAUUUACAUUUUGUAAAUUUACUGGUAAAAUUUUUAAAAAAUCAAUCAUAUCACUUUGUAUUUGAGUACAUAAUUUUCUUCGUGAAUCAACUUUCAAAUUUUUCGAAUUUAUAAAUGUCGCCAUAUUAUCCAAUAGGCCUAAUGAAAAGUAUAUUUAUAAAUAAUAAUUUAAAAUGAUUAUUAUUAUCAUUAAAAAUAUUUAUAGUAGAUGAAAGUAAAUUAAAAAUUAUUUGUAUUAAAAGUAUUUAAGUUAUAAAUAAAUCAAAAUAAAUCGUUAAAAGAAUAUUCUUUUGCAGAGCGAUUUUUGAGUUGUUGCCACACGCGUUCCACAGCACAGGGUUGCCGGAAGAAGUGUUCCGCUGGAUAAGUCCCGUUGUAAAGUGCCAUAGGGGAGGCAUAGGCACGUGGUGCCGUCGCUUCUUGGAGGGCCUCAGUCAGUAGGUCUACCAAGGUGUCCAAGCUGGGCCGGAUGAAAGUUGUGGACUGGAUAGAUCCCUGAAUUCUUGUUACCCUUUCAUAUCACUCGGUUAGGACACUAUGGCCGACUGUCUGCUGUUAAAACCUGACUGAUGUCCGGGAUGCCCCUGUCACUCCUGGUCUGGACCUGGGGGACCAAUCAAUUAUGUCGCAGCAAAAUGGCUGGCAGGUUUGGAUUGGGAACAAUAUUUUAAGCUGUGUACCGUUUGUACCGUUGUCACCAUCCAAAGAGAAAGUCUUGCAGUUUGCUACUUUGUCACAUGCCCCUAGAAGGCAGCAAUGGGUGUGCUAUCGCGCGCCGGUUUAUGGACCUUUGAGGUCUGGGAAACCAUUAUUGCUCCAAGGAUGUCACAUGACCUUGAGCAAUCUCUUCUUGGGCUUCAGGGUCAUGGUAGAGCUUCAUCCCACUUUUUGCAUUGCACCACAUGCUGAAAAUCUUUGAGCCAACACUGUGAAUCUUACCCACAUUCUCCUGAGAAGACAGUAGGAUCUCUCCACCUAUGGCAUAAUGGUCGAUUUUCUGGUGUUUCUCUCUGACCCUGGGCAAUCUCUUCUUGGGCUUCGGGAUUGUGGUAGAGCUUCAUCCCACUUGUUGCAUCACACCACACACUGAAAAUCUUUGAGCCAAUGCUGUGAAUCUUCCCGACAUUCUCCAGAGAAGACAGUAGGAUCUCUCCACCGAUGGCAAAAUGGUCGAUUUUCUGGUGUUUCUUCUCUCUCCAUGUUGUGCCUCUCUGUAAUCCUCCUCCCUUUGCCCUAGCCACUGUAGUUUGCUGACUAGGGUCUCCCAUGGUUCGCCUUGGUAGAGGUGAGCCUUUUCCCACAGGCUGGGGCAGAGUCCGUUGAUGAAGACCUCCGCGACCUCCGAGAUGCCUAUCUUCAGGCCAUCCGACUCUGCUCCCGCCGCAAGGUCGCUCACCCGUGCGGCAAAGUCUCGGACUUUCUCCCCGGCUCCCUGUCUACAGGAGAAGAACUGACUCCUCAUCUCCCUUGUGGAGACUUCCGGAAUCGCCUUUCAAGGCUCUCCUUUAGUUCUUUAUAUCCUAGACGGAUUUGUUUGGAUUGGAAGGCAAACUACCUUGCAGUAAAGGGGACUAUGCCCUUCCCUUUGAAUUUUUCUAAGUUGUACAGCAUGGAGGGCAGCUGGGCUUGGCUAGCUGUGGCGUUCUCUCUUUCGGCAGGCAUGAUCAACUGUUGAAUCUACAGGAACUAGGUAUUAGCUUCCAUCCUGACUGUAACAAUAAUAUCUAGGACCCAUAGAGGUGGGCAAAGUGGGGAAUAUGAAGUGGAAGGAGAGAAGAGAGACUUUCUUUAUCCAUGUUCCUAAAAAAAAAAAAAAUGAAAUGUUCGCACUUCAAGUGAGGAUCCAUUAGUUUAACAUGGUAAACAUGGUCCAUCAAUAAAGUCGGACAACAUUAUGUCGAGUUUCGACAGUUAAGACAGGCUAGACUACAGCAUGUGGCUGCUAAGUAAUCGCAACAAAUGGACUACAGCAUGAAGCUGCUAAGUAAUCGCAACAAAUGGACUAUAGCAUGAGGUUGCUAGGUAGUCACAACAAUGGACUAUAGCAUGAGGUUGCUAGGUAAUCAACAUAAUGGAUUACAGCAUGAGGUUGCUAGGUAAUCACAACAGUGGACUACCGCAUGAGUUUGCUAUGUAAUCACAACAAUGGACUAUAGCAUGAGGUUGCUAGGUAAUCAACAUAAUGGAUUACAGCAUGAGGUUGCUAGGUAGUCACAACAAUGGACUAUAGCAUGAGGUUGCUAGAUAAUCAACACAACGGAUUACAGCAUGAGGUUGCUAGGUAAUCACAACAGUGGACUACCGCAUGAGGUUGCUAGGUAGUCACAACAAUGGACUAUAGCAUGAGUAGCUAGAUAAUUAACACAACGGAUUACAGCAUGAGGUUGCUAGGUAGUCACAACAAUGGACUACCGCAUGAGGUUGCUAUGUAAUCACAACAAUGGAUUAUAGCAUGAGUUGCUAGAUAAUCAACACAACGGAUUACAGCAUGAGGUUGCUAGGUAAUCACAACAAUGGACUACCGCAUGAGGUUGCUAUGUAAUCACAACAAUGGAUUACCGCAUGAGUUUGCUAUGUAAUCACAACAAUGAAUUAUAGCAUGAGGUUGCUAGGUAGUCACAACAAUGGACUAUAGCAUGAGGUUGCUAGGUAAUCAACAUAAUGGUUUACAGCAUGAGGUUGCUAUGUAAUCACAACAAUGAACUAUAGCAUGAGGUUGCUAGGUAAUCAACAUAAUGGAUUACAGCAUGAGGUUGCUAGGUAGUCACAACAAUGGACUAUAGCAUGAGGUUGCUAGGUAAUCAACAUAAUGGUUUACAGCAUGAGGUUGCUAUGUAAUCACAACAAUGAACUAUAGCAUGAGGUUGCUAGGUAAUCAACAUAAUGGAUUACAGCAUGAGGUUGCUAGGUAGUCACAACAAUGGACUAUAGCAUGAGGUUGCUAGGUAAUCACAACAGUGGACUACCGCAUGAGGUUGCUAUGUAAUCACAACAAUGGACUACCGCAUGAGGUUGCUAUGCUAGUAUAUUUAUUUUUGAUAGUUGAGGUUUCUUUUUUGUCAGUUUAAUGAAGCAUUUGAGGCUAUUUAGGGGCAUAUGCAAAAUGUUCAUUAAUGUUUGAAAGACAUUUUUUAAAAAUAUUUUUAAUUUAAAGAAAAAGUGUAGAGAUUAGAAUGAAAAGUCUUGAAUUUAGAAUUUAUGCCUAUAUUAUUCAAUAGGUAUUUUCUGAUUGAUUGUAUAUUAAAGUGGUGUAUUUUUCUGUACCCAUUGUUCAAGAAAUCUUUUUUUAAUAUAUUGAUGGCUUGUAUAAAAUUGUUCUUAGUGUUAUUAUAUGUUCAAAAUAAGCAUAUUGUGCUGACUAGCUGGAUGAAUUCUUUUGUUAAAGUUGUGAUUUGUGAAGCAGUCGUAGUAAUUGUGUGAGGUAAGGACACACAGGAUCCAGUGGCAAAAACCCGUGGGGAUUCGAUCUGGGAGGAAAUAUAGGUCUGAGGACCACUUUGGAAACAACUGGUGUUGAGACCACCUCGGUGCGACGAGGAAAGUUUGGGACAUCGCUGUUGGUCUGGUGGUAGCUUGCUCUCUAGGACAGAUUUGUGCAUCCUGGAGAGAUGACUUCUCAGGGGUAGGAGAGCAUUGUCGGCUACAAAUGACUGCCAUCCCUUAUUCAUGAUAUUUACAGUGAUUACAGGUAAGCUGGCUAGUAAUCCUCCCCCUGCUUUGAGGCAUGCAGGACCUAGUUUUUUUGUGGGGGGUUGCUGUCAGUCACGGGAAAAGUGUUCUGGAUCGCCGCACCUGUAGCACUUGAAGGGGGGUCUGGUAGCCUCUGUCCUACCAGUGGCGUAGUCCUUGACUCCUUUGUCUUGUGCAUCCUGACUAGUGUUCUCCAUCUGGUUCUUGGAAAGCCGUUGUUGCGGCCUUUCUCUGUUGUUGUUCUGUUGGGGUCUUCGUAGCUCAUUCCUGGCCAUGUUACCUCAAUUGUGUAGGAAUCGAGAGCAUUUCAUAUAUUUUUUUAGGUAUAAUGGAAGAAGAAAAUUAUAAACAUAAUUAUGCCUUGCUUUGGGCGCCAUUGUUAAAAUAAGUGUAGAUUUUUAUACUUUUACUAACUAUUUCCUGAUCUCUACAUGUCCAAAUAUUAGGGCGCCAGUGGCUGCAGAAAAGCAGACCACAAAUUUAUGGCCGGCACAUGCAGAGACCUAAAGCUGUGCCGGCUAGCAAUUAAUGUUAAAAGGGAAAUUAACCAAUCAAUUUUUUGGUUAGACAAAUUUUUAUUUAGACUAAUAAAAUCUUUCAAUGUACAUCACAC